ensembl:lncRNA
CCUGGGGACAAUCACAAAGAGACAUGGGUCUGGGGACAACCACCAAGAGAGACAGGGGCCUGGGGACAACCACCAAGGGAGACAGGGGCCUGGGGACAACCACCAAGAGAGACAGGGGCCUGGGAACAACCACCAAGAGAGACAGGCCUCGGGACAACCACCAAGAGAGACAGGGGCCUGGGGACAACCACCAAGAGACACAGGGGCCUGGGGACAACCACCAAGAGAGACAUUGGCCUGGGGACAACCACCAAGAGAGACAUUGGCCUGGGGACAACAACACAGAGAGACAGGGGCCUGGGGACAGUAGUAGUGUAGUGGUGGUGUAGUAGAGGAAUGGUGGUGGUGUAGUGGCGGUGUAGUGGUGGUGUAGUUUUGGUGUAGUGGUGGUGUAGUAGAGGUGUAGUGGUGGUGUAGAGGUGUAGUAGAGGUGUAGUAGAGGUGUAGUGGUGGUGUAGUAGAGGUGUAGUGGUGGUGUAGUAGAGGUCUAGUGGUGGUGUAGUAAAGGUGUUGUGGUAGUGUAGUAGAGGUGUAGUCAUGGUGUAGUAGAGGUCUAGUGGUGGUGUAGUAGAGGUCUAGUGGUGGUGUAGUAGAGGUGCAGUGGUGGUGUAGUAGAAGUGUCGUGGUGGUGUUGUAAAGGUAUUGUGGUAGUGUAGUAGAGGUGUAGUGGUGGUGCAGUAGAAGUGUAGUGGUGGUGUAGUAGAGGCAUAGUGGUUGUGUAGUGGAGGUGUAAAGGUGUAGAGGAGGUGUAGUGGUGGUGUGGUGGUGGUGUGGUGGUGGUGUAGUAGAGCUGUAGUGGUGGUGUAGUGAUGGUGUAAAGGUGUAGAGGAGGUGUCGUGGUGGUGUGGUGGUGUAGUAGAGGUGUAUUGGGGGUGUAGUAGAGGUGUAGUGGUGGUGUAAUAGAAGUGUAGUGGUGGUGUAGUAGAGGUGUAGUGGUGGUGUAGUAGAGGUGUGGUGGUGGUGGUGUAGUAGAAGUGUAGUGCUGGCGUUGUAGAGGUGUAGUUGAGGUGUAGUGGUGGUGUAAUAGAAGUGUAGUGGUGGUGUAGUAGAGGUGUAGUGGUGGUGUAGUAGAGGUGUGGUGGUGGUGGUGUAGUAGAAGUGUAGUGCUGGCGUUGUAGAAGUGUAGUUGAGGUGUAGUGGUGGU